rnacentral:rRNA from 1 species
UGAGGAAUAUUGGUCAAUGGGCGGGAGCCUGAACCAGCCAUGCCGCGUGAAGGCGAGUGCCCUACGGGCGUUAAACUUCUUUUGUGCGGGAGCAAUAAGGGCCACGCGUGGCCCGAUGAGAGUACCGCACGAAUAAGCAUCGGCUAACUCCGUGCCAGCAGCCGCGGUAAUACGGGGGAUGCGAGCGUUAUCCGGAUUUAUUGGGUUUAAAGGGUGCGUAGGCGGCGCUUCAGGUCAGCGGUGAAAUACCGGGGCUCAACCCCGGGGCUGCCGUUGAAACCGGAGCGCUAGAAUUCCGAUGCCGUCGGAGGAAUGUGUGGUGUAGCGGUGAAAUGCAUAGAUAUCACACAGAACACCGAUUGCGAAGGCAUCUGACGAAUCGGAGAUUGACGCUGAUGCA